AUUUAAUAAAUUUUUACAGGUGCCCAUUUUAGGGAGAAUAGGGAACCGGGUGAGAUUCCCGGACGGACCCGCCACUGUGAAGGUGAGCUUUUACUUAUACCACCCCAUCCAUUAUGGGGGAAGGGCGUAAAAUGCUGUGAUCCUAGUCAGGAGACCUGCCUGUAAAAUUUCUAUGUC
rnacentral:ncRNA from 1 species